rnacentral:rRNA from 1 species
CCUACGGGAGGCAGCAGUGAGGAAUAUUGGUCAAUGGCCGGACGGCUGAACCAGCCAUGCCGCGUGAAGGUCAGUGCCCUAUGGGCGUUAAACUUCUUUUGUGCGGGAGCAAUAAUGGUCACGUGUGGCCAGACGAGAGUACCGUACGAAUAAGCAUCGGCUAACUCCGUGCCAGAAGCCGCGGUAAUACGGGGGAUGCAAGCGUUAUCCGGAUUUUUUGGGUUGAAAGGGUGCGUAGGCUGUGAGGGAAGUCAGCGGUGAAAUUCCCCCGCGCAACGGGGUGAAGUGCCAUUGAUACUGCCUUGCUUGAGUGCGGGUGCCGUGGGAGGAAUGUGUGGUGUAGCGGUGAAAUGCAUAGAUAGCACGCAGAACACCGAUUGCGAAGGCAGCUCACGAGUCCGCGAUUGACGCUGAUGCUCGAAAGUGUGGGUAUCAAACAGGAUUAGAUACCCGAGUAGUC